CGGCUGGCUCGCGCUGCGCCCUGCCGCCACGCGACGCGACGCGCUCUGUCCUCUGUCUGCAUCCACUGUGCGCCCGUCUCGUCCACUGUGCGCCCCGUGUGUGUUCGUGCGACGCCGUGCGCCGCUCCUCGCGAAACAUUUCUUCCUACCGACAGAACGUGCAAUCGAAUCGGCACUGCAACCCUUUAGUUCGAGCAGCAAAGUUAACUAAGCGAUUUUUCUUGUGUUCACGUUUCUACUUUGUGAAUGGGGGUCGAGCUCGUGUCUCCCGCUCACCGUUUGUGUCAGAUGCCAAUAUCGAAGUAGAAGUGACUGCCGCCGCAAAGUACCAACAAAACCAAUAACUCCCUUCAGCGAUGGAAAAGAAACAGGAGAAUCAAACGACGCGGGCUGCUGACGCCGUUCACAUUCGGUGAACAUUUUGGAAACAAUCGAACGACCUCUUUUCUUUCUGGUGCAUAGCUGGCAGUACCUGAAUGAGAGGAGGCACACGUCAGAGGUUGGUGUGGCGAGUGAAAGUGGUGCGCCAGCAGAAGGGGAGAGAAUAGACAGCCGUGUCGGUGCCAUACGUCGCCUUACAAGGAGAACGCUCUGACGGGCGGCCGUAAAACGGCGGCAGCUGCCACCGCUCCCGUUACAUGCCAUUCGUUCGGUGGCUGUCGCUGAUCGAACCAAAGUAUCCCACCUUCAGCAUCAGCACAGUUCUCAAUACACCACUGCCUACUCACAAAACUUGAAGAACUGCCAUAUGAUACUAGUUUGUAGCUUGUCAAACGCUACUUUCUAUAGGGGAGACCAGGGCUAGUUGUCAUAGAUUUUGAGUUCUGAUAUUUCAAUUUUUUGUUUUAUUUAUUUAUUUAUUUAUUUUUAUUUUUGUGCAAUUCUUGCAGAAAUUGUGGUGGAUGCAGCGCAUAGCUUGGCUUUUUGACUACACAAUACUAUAGGAAGAACAAAUUCUUCAAAAAGUAAAUUCAUUGUGAAGAAAAUAAUUUUGCUUCAACGCAGUAUGAACUUAAAUGUAUGAACAAACAGUGAAUUGAUCAAGAAAAACAUUUUUUCUGAUUAUUAUUAUAGGUACCAAUAGUUAUUCACACGUAAUUACGAGGGUUGCCCAUAAAGUAAUGCACCGCACUUUUUCCUCAGCCAGGAACAAUGCUACAAAUUCAAAACGUUACGUAUGUAUUGUCUGAAGUCUCCUGAGUGAGCGCGCCAAGCUUCCGUCACUUCCGACAGGUAGCGUAGCGGAUGAGCAGUUGCAAAAUGGCGUCUGUAGGUGAUGUAUGUUACAAGCAACGUGCCGUCAUUGAAUUUCUCGCUGCAGAGAAAGAAACUGUGGGGACCCACAGACUUCCACUUAUUUGGACCAUGAAAGGCUGCCACUCGUGGAAGACAUUUUGAGGACGAUGAGGAGGUGAUUCACACAGUGAAGCACUGGCUCCGCCACCAGGACAAGGACUCGUACCGGCAGGGCAUACACGUCCUUGUUUCGUGCUGGAGGAAGGCCAUAGAACGGGUUGGAGACUACGUAGAAAAGUAGAUUGUGUACAUUAGACACCAUUCUUUCGUGUGUGUAACAUUCAUUAUGUUCAAUAAAGAAAUGUUGAAGAAAAAAUGUCGUGCAUUAGCCCUACUUUCUGCGCAACCCUCGUAGUUCAAUUUUUUAACAAUCAGCCAUGAAUGUAGGUGUUGGGCAGUCGUUUAUCUCAUGGGUGGGUUAAAUUUUCCUUUCGUCGUACCAAAUUUAAUCAGCUUUAUGAGACAGACUGCAUCUGCAUAUACAUCAGCAAAGUCAUACGGUAACAUGCACUGCUGCCAGUUUGUUGGAUUGUAGCUCACUGAAG